UACGAAGGGGGCUAGCGUUGCUCGGAAUCACUGGGCGUAAAGGGCGCGUAGGCGGAUCUUUAAGUCGGGGGUGAAAGCCUGAGGUUCAACCUCAGAAUUGCCUUCGAUACUGGAGAUCUUGAGACCGGAAGAGGUAAGUGGAACUGCGAGUGUAGAGGUGAAAUUCGUAGAUAUUCGCAAGAACACCAGUGGCGAAGGCGGCUUACUGGUCCGGUUCUGACGCUGAGGCGCGAAAGCGUGGGGAGCAAACAGG
rnacentral:rRNA from 1 species